GACGAACGCUGGCGGCGUGCUUAACACAUGCAAGUCGAGCGGUAAGGCCCUUUCGGGGGUACGACGAGCGGCGAACGGGUGAGUAACACGUGGGUGACCUGCCCUCAGCUCUGGGAUAAGCCUGGGAAACUGGGUCUAAUACUGGAUAUGACUCCACGGUGCAUGUCGUGGGGUGGAAAGCCUUGUGCGGCUGAGGAGUCGGGCCC
rnacentral:rRNA from 1 species